CAGGGCCACUCUCCAGCACAGCGACUUCCGGUUGGGGUUUCCACCUAGGGUGGCUGUGCACGGUGAGUGGUUAAGGAUUACAGGCCUUCAGGGAAGGCUUAGGAAAGAGAACGCUCUUCUACUUGGAACUGGAUCUGUUUCCCUUCAAGAAAUUCUACCCGUGACCGAAAUUUCCAGCCUUCCUAAGAGGGCAGCAGUCUCGACUUUCAUGGCAGUGCUGACAUAUGCAAGUAGAAGACCUGUUUUCAAGGACCACAUUCCAGGUUCUGAGUGCUUCUCAAGCUCUGCAUGCCCUGCAAGGGGAAGGGCUGGGAGCAGGAGGGCUGCUGAUCAAGAGCUCUUGCUGUCAGGAAGCUCAAUUUGGAAGGGAGACAGAAAACAGAAAUAUGAUCAACGUCACACGUUCUGGCAGAGCUACAGGCUUUCGGGUACUAUAACCACUGCCUUACAACUGCCUCUCAGCCCUGGAGUGCAGAGUGGCAGUGCCCGCUCCCAUGGCAGCCGCCCCUGCUGAUACUCAUUCCUGCAUGUCUCAGCAAAAGAAGACAGAAGGAGAAUUAAGAGUAGGCCACCAGCAAGGAGGAGGAGGUGAGCUCCAAGAGGCCUCUACGCAGGACUGGGAUCAGGCCGAGGAAUUGUACUAGGAAGACUCAGAACCCAGGCUGGAAGCCGGGGGUCUUAUCUGCAGGGGCGUCUGCUGGUGCUGUACAGUGGAACCCCCAAAAACUGUGAGCAGGUUUAUCUUCUACCACGCGAAUCCUCCGAGCUCCAGCAGGAAUAACAGCAGCUUCGAUGUAACCUGCAGCAACAGAUUACAUAUGGGUAAACCACACCCCCAGCCUGGACUGGAGGCCCACAAGGCUCUCCCCUUCCCCAGGUUCCCUUCUCACACCAGCUGUGGCAGGUUCAGAGACUGCAGAUUGGCAGGGCUCUGCAAAUCCAAUUAGCCAACUAAUGUGGAGUGCUUUCUCCCAUGGCCAGGAAUUCUUGGGCCCCCGUUUUCCUGAGAGCACCACUUGCAUGUGUUCUAAAUUGAAUUAAGACCACCCUCCUUCCUUGGAAUUUAUAAGUGGAAAUCCUAACCCCCAGUACCUCGAUGUGAUCUCAUUUGGAACUAGCGUUACCUCAGAUGAAUCUAGUUAAGAUGAGAUCAUACUGGAACAGGAGGGGCCCUUAAUCCACUAGGACAAAUGGCCUUUUAAAAAGGGGAAAUUUGAAGACAGACAUGUACACAGGAGAACACAGGAGAACCUGACAGCGAAGACUGCAGUGCUACUUUUUCUAAGCCAAGAAACGCCAAGCAUCCCCAGCAAACCACUGCAAGGCAAGAGAGAAGCAGGGAGCAGAUUCGCCCUUGCAGCCUCAGAGUGAGCCAGCCCUGUGGACACCACCACAUUCCCAGCCUCCACCAUGGCAAGACAAGAGGUUUCUGUUGUUGAUGCCACCCAGGUUGUGGCCCUUUGCCACAGCAUUCCUGGAAAACAAACACAGCCUGGCCUCCUUCAUGAACGGUGCCUCCCAGGUGCUUGGGCGAGGAGUUCCCAGGUCUUGUUCAUCCGCUGGAGGUUCCUUCACUUUUGUAGUUUGACUUUUUUCCAAAAAUCUAUAGAAUAACAGCAAAGGCCGAGCAACUUGCCCUAUGACCAAACUAUUGCCUCAACCUGCUGUGCACCACUUCUGGUUUGCCUUCAGGCGUUGCCGUGACUCUCAUAGUAUAUACCGUUGCCUGCUUCCUUCAUUACUUCCAAGUAGAUGGGGAGCUGCCCAUGAGCUGGCAGUGCGUGGUGCCCAAGGCCUAACUAUGUAGAGAUUAUGGAAAUACCUACUUUAAAGGGUUUAUUUCUCUAAUAAAAAUGUCUAUGGAGAUAAUAGACACUUCAAAUAACACUUGACCUCUACCAUCACGCUAAGAAAAUCACUCUUCAGAAAGUCAGUAGCGUAUAUAUGAAAUAAUAAUAUCCUUUGAUAAGGCUACCAGCUCACACCCCAUCUCAGCUGUGUCAUUAUGGUUCAAGUGCUCUAUGGUCUUCAUAGUGCCUGGGACAAAAACAAUCCAAUCACCUCAGAAGUGGCACAAGAGCACGGCGUCAAGUACAGCGCUGCUUCCUGAGCUGACUUUUGGGAUGAUGAAGAAAUAAGCGCUGUUCAGUCAGCCAUCUUGGGCAGAAAAGUCACCAAUAUCCUUCAGCUGUGAUAGCAAACUCCUUGGCGUUGCUCCUAUAGAUUCAGCUCCAGAUGGUUCCAGUAAAUGUUCUACUGGAUGCUGAGGGAGACUUGUCAAAUGUAAACAGAGCCCAGUUGGAGGGCAGCAGUUGCCUAAGUUUUCUGCCCUCAUCUAUCCUAGGCCUGAGGCGGGAUGACUUUAACCGACUGUGUGGUCUUCCGUGUGUGAUCCCUUUCACACGCGUCUAAGUUGGGAACUGCAGCACUGGCCUGACAGGCGGCCUGCACUCGGGCCGCACCACGGAGUUGCUUUAGGGCUUUUAAUUAAAUUUAUUUUUGCUCUAGGAAUGCUUCUCUGCUUUAAAAGUUUGGCAAAAACAAUAACUCUAAGAUAACAGCAUGGGUUUUAUGCCACAAAUAUCUCCUGGAGAAAUCAAUUCUCUCUGAGGAAUUUGAAAAAUUAUUGGAUUCCAGGCAUAUAAAAUAGGAAAGCAUCAUAAACAGAGACAAAAUGGUUCAGGGUCAAAGUAAUUCAAAAAAUGUUUUUUCAGAGGAAUUUCCAUUUCAACUGCCUGAUGCACCUGGGAUCAGGAUCUACUUGUUGAGGUGAAUUAUUUUCUGAAGGGAGCUACUGUGGUGUAGAAUCUUCUUCCCCUUUGUGACAAACACAGCUGAGCGUUAGCUUCACCAGUCUGCACAAUGUGAGGCCACAACCGGAGCUGCCAAGGUCCUGAUUCAUUGAUUUUCCACAUUCGAGAGCAAGGCUUGGGGUGGACAUGCCGAGCAGCGCAGUGCUCGGGGCAGGCGUGUGACCCAAGCAGGACUCAUCCUUAAAUGACCUCUCUGGGCAGAGCCGUCAUGGUGGUGCCUCUGCUAAGCUCUCCUCUCAUGAUGAGUUUAUUUUUCUUCUUGAUAUAGAGAGAAUCAGCUAAAGAGAAAGUCCCUGAAAGGAAAGAUGGCCCUUUCGUCUCAGAAUCAUAAAACUGCCUCCAACUCACUGUUCCCCAGGGUAUCCUUAUCCCAGGGCUCAAAGCUCACACUGGGUUGAUCUGAAGAGCAACCAGGCAAGGAGAGAGUCCCAUCACCAAGUCCCAAGAACCUUGUCAGUUCUCAGCCCAGAUGCCCUACUAUGUGGAGACUGGACACAACCACGCUGAAUCAUGCAUGUAAUAAAAGUUAACAAGAUGACUUACUCUAAGAAUUUACAAGCCAGGUUUUCAUUGUAGGCAAGGGGGCAAGACAUUAUUUUGGAGUUCAUUCAAGUCUCAAAUGAAGAAGCAGGAGAAGUCUAGUAAGAGGGGCAUGAUUUGAUUCCACAAGGCAGUCGUGGGUAGAAUUCAAGAUCCUUGCCAUUGUGCUAGCAGACCAGGCCAUGUUUGCGUUAAGGGCUAGCUGUCAGAAAAAUCUUCUAGUGUUUUAAAUCAAGUUAAUAUUACUAGAGUAUGACGACAUUUCCCUGUGAAAUUAUUUAACCAAAUUUUCCCCAAAGGUUUGCUUUUAGAUGAUUGGUGGUCAUAUUUUUUCUUGUGCUCUCAAUGGCAUUAACUAUAGUUGGAAGAAAGCCAUUGACAUUAUAUAAUAGCAUGAUAAUGAACAGGAAAGUUCUGGCUAGGUAUACUAGAACUGUUUUCCCAGGUUGCAUAAAACAAUUGAAGAAAGUAAAUGAUUUUUUUUCCUGUAAAUAAAUCAUAAGAUAUUCAGAAAGGCUUUUAAGUUUAUGUUUUCCUCUUUUUAUAAAAGUUGCUUAUGCAACUAUGCUUACAGAUGUUCAUGGACUUAUGCUUGAGUCAGGUCCUGAUAAACUCAUCAUAAAUUGAAAAUAUCUUGAUUCAAGACUGCAUGUGCCAUACUCAGCUACUGAAUGCACGGCUUAGCAUGCAGCACACUGCAGCACACUGCUCCUUUCCUGUCAUGUGCACACGGCUCCUGGGAGCUACUGCUUGCUGCCACAACAGAGGAUGCCUGACAGAGAA